CAAAUCCAUGUUUUUCUAACAUCGUCAAAGUCCAGAUGCUAAGAAUCCGGGAAGCACAUAAGAAGGUAAUUCCGGCGGAAAAUAAUUGGUUCUUAGUUCUUUCUCCUGGAUUAUAUAUUUGACAUCAGACAAACAAAUUCAUUUGUUUUCAUCAAAUUUGACAGUUGAAAGUUGAAACUGAUGCAAAAUUCAUUUGUUUUCAACACAUGUAUAAGGAAGGGUCAAUGUAAUUUGUCAGUGGGUUUGACGGGUUACAGCACUGAGGGCCUGAAGAUUUAGACGAUAGAUUCAAACGAUGCAGAUGGAGUGACUGAGAUGAAAUUAGAAUCGCUGAAGCCUGAGGGAUAACUUUGUCCUUGGUGAUACAGAGGAAUAAGGGUAUCAUGCGAAAGGACCAUCAAAAGUUCUCAAGAAACUUAAGGAAAAGGUAAAAUAAGAUGAAGACUGUUCUUACUAAACAUAGACAUGGUCGUGAGCAUGAUCGUGGAGAACAACAUAUCCCCGACGAUCACGAUCUUGACAAGGAAGAUGCUGACUGAAGAUUACGAAGUAGGCCAAAUUGGCCAACAAGUUCACAGUGGUGCACCAAACAUGAGGAAAGCUCAUCACAUUCAGGAGAUAGUUCCUCCAGGCACGAAGGCUUUUCCUGCCGUGGCUACUUCCCCCACUAAAGUCUCUGAGCCAAUCAAAGCAGUGAAACCAGUACGAGGCCCCAAUACCUCUCACGGACACGAAGCUCUGCCUCAUCAUGCAAGACCCUUAGGUGUGUCAGAAAAUAAGAAAAAGAGGCGUUCCUACAAUGACGACGUAUAACAUGCCCGUGUCUUCGCUCACUCUGACAGAAAAUGCCACUAGAACGUUAGUUCUUGGUGAAUAACUUAGAGUAUGAACAAUUUAGAGUCAACAUCGAGAGAUACAGAGGAUUGGAAGAAGGGACGGCUGCUCAGGUCUGGGUGGGAUGUCGAAUUAUCAGUCCAAAGUCACGUUUCCCACCGGAAAAAUUGGAGCAGCACAGCUCUUCCGCGGAGGAAAGGAAAAUGUGAUGAUAUUCAACUAAGCUCCUGGAAGAGAUAGGGAUAUAGUACAAGAAGAAUGAAUUUCUGAAACGUAGGCACCGUCAUUAUUGGUGAAAAGUGAAAUACCGCAAACAAGGCACACGACUUCUAAUGGCAACCGUUCGGAUUGGAAAGUGUGUUUCACCGUCAAAUAAAUACCAGUUAUUGACUUGCAUAGAUCUUGAGGCUGAGAUGAAAAGGUCAAAGCUUGAACUCAAGCAAACCAUAGACAUGUAUGCCCUAGCUUCCAAAGAAGCACUAAAAGGUGGAAAUAUAGGUGUGAAGGAGAGGUAGUUGGUGAUGACUAAGCUCAUCUUACUUCAUCUAAUACUUUGAAGUUGAAGUAGUUGUCGAACUUAAAUAUAUGUGUGAAGGAAAAUAGUUGAUGAUGACUAAAGUCAGGCAAACCAUGGACAUGUAUGGCCUAGCUUCCUAGACACGUUUUCUAGGAUGAAGUAUAAUGUUGUUACAGUUGUUUAUCGA